AGUUAUUUGCAGGCAGGAGGAAACCAGUCUCACCUGUAGGCCCUUAUACAGCUUAGAGUUUCAGGAAUGUACAUAUUCUGGUUGUGAGAAGUAAAUCUUCCUUAAGCCAUCCAAUACCUGCCUAGUCAUAUUAGACACAAGGCUAUACCUGGCAGGGAAUGGUGUAGGAGGGAUGAGACACAUCUCACACAUCUCCCGAGAGACAUGCUGUAUCUGCAAUGGCAAUCCAACAGAUGGGAGAGAGACAGAGAACCGGACACAUGAAGUCAUCAGACUUAAGAGUGUGCGCAGCCGCGUUUCAAGGACUUUGAACGUGCAUGGCAAGCAGCUGGUCUGGUCUGGCAGAAGCUGUGAGAAUAUUGGCUGGGAGGCCCUGACCUGAUCACCCCCAGAAUCAUUCCCGCGGAAAAGCUGAUGUAUUUCAGAGCAGGAUUUCAUCAGGGAGCAGCUAGAUGUUGGCAACGGCAACACGCCAUGAAUACAGCGGGGGCUGCCUUUGUGGAGCCUUUGGGGAAAUACAGCAUUUGUAAGAGAUCGCAGCAGAGGGGCUGACUCAUGUGCCUGGGUGCAAUGCUUACUGCCGGCAGGAGUUCUGCUGACGUCCCAGAAGAACUGCGCCUGUUAGCAAAUGUUUGCUUGCUUGAGGCCUGGCCUAGCAGUUAGGAGGAGAUUUCAAGGGUUCUCUUGUAGUGACAGUCCACGCCCAUUUCUCCUUAGUGGGGAAGAUACUUGGCUAUGGACAACUCUUUUUUCAGCUGGUGUUAAUACUAUGGGUUGGAACUCCUUGGUCCAGCAACUUUGGGACCAGAGUGGUCCUGAACCAGGGAGUUUGCUUGACCAAGGGAGGUCAGGACUUGGGCUCUCCCAGGGCUCCCCUGUUGGCUGCUGACCUGGCCAGUGAGCUGCCCCUGGCCUGCUAGCAGGGCUCAAAUCCAAACCGCUGGUGCUGCUCCGACUGGCAAGGCUCCCUGGCCCGGGCCAGCGGCCCUGCUCCCUGCCCCAGGCCACUGAUGUUGCUGGACCAGACAGUCCUGGACCAGAGAGGUUCAAUUUCUCCUAAUUUAAAAUAAUAAAAUUGG